rnacentral:lncRNA from 1 species
GGGGAUGACGUUUUCGAAUUAUAGAAGGCAUUGCUCAAGGAGUACUUUAUAUCCACAAGUACUCGAGAUUGAAAAUCAUCCACAGGGACCUAAAAGCAAGUAACAUAUUGUUGGAUGAAGGCUUGAAUCCCAAAAUUUCAGACUUUGGAAUGGCAAGGAUUUUCGGGAUAAAUCAGAUUGAAGCAAAUACAAAUAGGGUUGUUGGCACAUAGUAAGUCUACGUAUAUCUGGUACAUGUUUUCAUUGAAGUAAUGUUCUAUUGCUUACUUCUCUACAUACUGUCAAUUCAUGAGUAGCGGCUACAUGUCACCCGAGUAUGCGAGAUAUGGUCAUUUCUCUGAGAAAUUAGAUGUAUUCAGCUUUGGAGUGUUGUUGUUGGAGAUUGUAAGCAGAAAGAAUGCUGUUUUUUAUCGCUUUGAACAUUCACCAACUCUUGCUGGAUGGGUAAGUACUGAAAAAUGAUUCUAAAACUCAUGGUCAUCCUUUCUUUAAGCCUUCCAAAUUCGCAAAUGACCGUAAACUCAACAUUUUAAUCAGGGAUGGGAGUUGUGGAAAGAAGGAAGAGGAAUGGAGGUGAUUGAUGAAUCAGUAAGGGAAACAUGCCAGCUCUAUGAAGCUUUGAGGUGUAUCCAUGUAGGGUUUUUGUGUGUUCAAGAAGCUCCAGCUGAUCGACCAACAAUGUCUUCGGUAAUUCGUAUGUUGCAGGGCAAUGAAUCUACAUCUCUUCCACCUUCCAAAGAACCUGCCUUUUCAACACACAGAAAUUCCAGUCAUGUUCGCUCUUCUCAAACGCCUACCAUUUAUUCCCACAAUGCAGUCACCAUGAGUUUGCCAGAAGGUCGAUAGGCGUUGGAAGAGCAAUGACUGGCAAGCAGUUGAGAAAAUAAUAUAGUAUAUUAGAAUAAACAUCCCGACAACUAGCAGUUUUAUACAAACACUUCGGGUUCAAUUACACAUUACUCGAGCUGUUUGUGCAUUUUAUGGUUUUUGCCCAUCCAAACUAAACCUAUAAUAGCAGCAUAUUAAAUUUAUGUUGUAUUUUUUAGCUGCAAAUGUGGGUGUAACCGUACUUCUAGAUAUGUUCCCGCCACACCUCUUGGUGCAACCGUAUUUAUAUUAAAUUAAAAUGGAAUGUCACUUGUAUCAAAAGAAUAAAGAGGAGAUUUUUUUUACAUAUUCCAACUUUCAGAAGACAAAAACUAAAAACAAAAUUGUUCUAGAACAAAGGAUUUACAUUAGUAUAACCAUAAUUGACAACAUGGGUUUUCCUAUGGUUGGAAUAGAAAAUUUGACAAUCAUCAUAUAGAAUCUACCGAAUGCAAGUUUGGCAACUAGAACUACAAGUAAACUAUGUGCCCGAUCAGUUUUCUCGUCGACGAAGAUUCGAACUUGAUGCCUCUUUCAACAUUGAAAAACAAAAUAUCACUAGAACACUUGAUGAGCCUGAUCAUGUUAAACUCAAGUUUUAUUGAUGAGAGUAUGGGCUGGUGAUGAUGAGCUCUCGGCAAGCAGCGGGGCUGCUUGGCCUCCAAGAAUAAAUGGAUUCGAACAUGCACCAGUCUGCUCAAACUAUAGAGGAACUGAAUGCACCCUGCAGAUCAAGUGUCAAUAAUCAAUCAAUUAAACAAACAGUUAGUGAAUAUCACUUCGAUCUAGAAAAUUUAAGGACCUUGAAUAGUUUCACUUACAAGCUACAACAACAAAACAAAUCAACAUAAGAGUGGAUCAACCAACGAAUGCACCAUUCUAGUUGAGUCCGAUUACCACCAAUGUAAGAGUCAAUUUUGUUACAAUUAGCACCAGUAAGGACAUCAGUUUAAUCUCGAACAAAGCUCCGCUGCCAGUUUCGGCAUUAUUGUUCUCCCCAACCUUGAAACCCAUGAUUGUGCUGAUUCUUUAUCGGGACCAGGCCAAAAAACACAAACAGAGAAAGAAAAAAAAAGGAUUAAACUUGUGUUUGAGAGAGAAAACAUGAGUAUGGUAUAUAAAAAUGUUGUAGGCAAGGUAGGUAGCAUUGUUUCUUGUUACUUUUUUCUACCUGAUUUGGCUUCCCGUAUAUUUUGGGUCCCUACGAUUGUGAAGUUACCCAUUUUGAUGCAAAAUGGAGGCAGGGUACUUAUGCUUCUUGUUUGGAGAGAUAGUUUAAUUAAAUGUGUCAUGUAUCAAAAAAGGUUUACUUUUAAAAAACAUAAACAAAGUUCAUUGAGUGAGUGACGCCACUAAAACUACGCAUACAAUGCAAAAGAGAACCUCUUGUUUGUUUGGCAGGUAAUUCCUGUUUCAAUCAACAGAGAGAUAAUGUGACUUAGUAAACAUUGGGUAGAUCAUGCUUAUAGGAGUGGUAUUGUUCAUUGCUCGUUGGCCAUCUUGCUUUAUUCCCUGAUUUUCAAAAAUAUUAUUGUGGGACAGAAACAUCAGGUUAAUUAUUGUGUGUGUCAUUAUUAUGUUAAUUUUGAUAAAAUUUAAUGUAUAUAUGAGUUAGACAAAACAACGACGAUAAUUGAUAACACUACGUAAUACUCUAACUAUGAACAUUAAAACAUUUCCCUAAUAUCACGCCGUUCUUCACGUUUUGCAUCCACACACAAGCAAUCGUGAAAGACGACAACAAUUGAUUUUGAACGUAAAUGAUGAAACUGAUGACUCAAGGAUAAACUGCAGAAUAAUGGAUCACACAUAGGCAAUCUGUAUAGUACCACGUGUCGAAAAAGUCAGCUGAAGGAUGCAGCCUACCAACAGGCUACAGGGACAUGUAAUCACGUUACUGUCCGAAGGGAAGCAGUGGGACCAACUCAGUUUCCUCAUCGAGCAAAAUAACUGAAGUUAACAAGUGUCACGCGUCCGUUAGAUAAUGACUUAUUUUAUUUUAUUUUUGUUAAUUAAUGAAUAAUACAGUUGCUCCGCAACUCACUCUCCUCUUGUUGAGUGAUUUGAGGAAGCAGUCUCUUCUCUUCUCACUUGAUCAGCCUCUCAAUUCUGGUCAACUUUUCCCCAAGGACGAUCUUAUCCUUCUUCACCAGAGCUUCAAGGGCUUUCAAUGGCCACCCUGUAGCCUCCAAGCUUCUGGUGCUCUGUACUAUCAGGUUCUCAAUUUUCUUGCUUACCAUGAUAAUUUCUUUUCGAUCGGUUUGGCAUGAGGUGAAGCCUCACAUGACCUAAAUUUUUUAAUAUAUAUACGGAGUGUACACAUAUAUUAUAUUAAAAAAGAAGAAGAUUAUUAAUCAAUAAUCAUCCCGAGCACACACAUAUAUUAUAAAUACAUAUACACAUAUAUAUUAUAUUAUAUAUAUAAAAUAGAGGAUGAAAAGUAUAAUGAGCACACAUAUAACAAUGCACGUAGACGGCACAUACAUUCAUUAUAUAAAAAAUAAAAAUCAGAAAACAAGGCAGAGAGAUGAUAGUGCAAGGAAGAUGUGUGAGGUAGUUAAAACCUUACCCAAAAUUUGGGUUUGGGAGUAAUAAUAAAAAAAAAUUAAAAAUAAAAUUCUCUUGAGGAGCGCCUAGGCGGCGCCUUCCGCCCACUCCCUGAAAACAGAGGCGGCAUCCCUCAAGCCCAGCCUCACAGGGCGCCUAGGCGCGCCCUGAGGCGAGCCUUUUAAAACAUUGGAGAAAAUGCAUGACCAGAAAAUGAGUUAGUGUUAAGCGAUUACGGGAGUUACCAUUGUCAUAUCUCAAAUUAUUAUUAUAUUGAAUAUACAGUUUCUACAGUUAGGUUGAAAUAUUUUCUAUCAUAGCAUAUAAAGACACAUUCUUUUUUGGUUUUGGUUAUAUCUCAAUGAAGUAUCAUUUUCUGAAGGCAAGUCCGGUUUAUUGAAUUUUUAGGUGUCAAUGAUGUUACAAUCCGACGUGUUUGAGGCGUAGAGGAAGUGAGAACCUGCUUUUGUGCAGGGAGAACCUACUCGUGGAAACUAUGAUCCCUUGACAGAUUCGAUGUACCUGAAUCAUCGUAGUCGUAGUUUUAGGUUGUGUGUUUUUGUUGUGUCUUGUGUUAAAAUGUGUUUUUGAGUUUCAACUAUACUCUUAUACUUUUUCAAUCAGGUGUAGGGUCUGAAAUAACUCAUAAAUUGAAGUGUUGUCUAUCAGCUUCAUCUCUUGUUACUGGUGGAGACCGGAGUCAAACAACAACACUGCACCUAAUCACACUAAUCUUGUUUCAUUUACGGUUUUGUGAUUCAUGUUAAAUUUCAUUUAAUUUGGAUUGAUGCUGCUAAUCUUUUUGUUGUCGAAGGAUUUAAACAAGAUGAUGAUUGGUGGAGAAAAAUGGCAUGGGGAAAUCAUUACCUUAGAUUAAUCAUGUCUGGAUGGGUACAGUUUGUAGGAAUUCAGACCAAAAACAGAGACAUGGAAAUGAAUAAACUUUUUGGUAAUGGGAGUCUUAAAAGUUUCAACAUAUCUUUGUUUUUGUGAUUACUUUUGUUAGUUAGACUUGUAUGGAUUGGAAAAGAUUAUGAGAAUUAACAACAUUUAAGCUCAAAACCUCUUGAACCGAAGGAAUCAUGAUCGUAGGUAACCUUAUUGAAAUAACACAUGAACCAUAAUUUAUAGUAAGCAUGAAUGCUUAGUUUGGUACAUUAGCUUGCAGUUGAAGCAAUCUAACUUGAAUGUCCUAAUCCUAACUCAUACCUCCAUGUCUUCUCGGGUUUAGGAUAUGUGAUGCCUCAAGGGUUUACACAUUGUAGACUGUAGAGCAUUGACGAAUUUGAACAGAACCGUUAUACUACCAGAAUCUUUGACAGAGGAAGAACAAUGUUCAAGCCCUUUCCAUACAUUGAAUUUUCUAUAAGUCGUUGUCGGUCCAUAUGCCAGCUAAUGAACCGUAAGAAUUGACUUAGUUGACUUACUGAUCACCAUGAAAAGGGCAUGUAGGUUAAGUUCCAGUAACAUGCAUACGGUAAAUCUUUGCCUGCCUGCUGAAUGCUUUGUGCAGCCAUGGAUACCACACCAAACUCAGAGUUUGUGUUCUCCAUUAUUUUAUUAUGUGCAUUUCUCGAGUUCCAUGUUUCCCUAGCAGCUGAUACCAUCAGCGAAAACCAAUCUCUCUCGGGUGAUCAAAUUAUUGUCUCCGCAGGUGGGAUUUUUGAGCUCAGUUUCUUCAAACCAGGUAACUCUUCAAACUUCUACAUAGGCAUGUAGUACACCAAACAAGUAGUAUCCGAGAGGACCAUUGUUUGGGUGGCAAACAGGGAAAAACCAGUUUCCGAUAAAUUUUCUUCAGUUUUAAUGAUUUCAGAUGGUAAUUUAGUCCUGUUCAACGAGUCCAAAUCCCCUGUUUGGUCAAUUUAACCUCCUCCUCCGCCACUGCACUUCUUUUGGAUACCGGAAACUUCUCGGUGUCCAGUAAUAGUUUAUCAGAGCCGUUAUGGAAAUCCUUUGAUAAUCCAAUGCAUACUUGGCUGCCAGGAGCUAGAAUUGGGUUUAACACUGUUAUCCAACAAACCCAAAUAUUUACUUCACGGAAGAGUUCAAAGGAUCCUGCACAGGGUCUUUUCUCGCUUGAGUUGGACCGAACGGAAGCAAUGCGUAUCUUCCCAUACUGUGGAUCCUACAGUAUUGGAUAUGCAUUGCUUCCGUGACGCAUACUUCACCUACCCUCUUUAUGAUCCAAAGAUAUUUUCUUGAUUCGUGACGCAUACUUCGGGGAAAAUUCAACAGUUGUCAUUGUGGGACAUACCGUGGAAUUUGGUUUGGUCCCAACGGAGAAAACAAUGCGAAGCUUAUGAUUUGUGCGGUGAGCACCCUCGCCUAUAAUUGCUUGAACGGUUUUGAGCCGAAGGCGAAGAGAGACUGGGAUUUAAAGGACUACCCUGGUGGGUGUUCAAGAAAAAAAAGAUCUGCAGCUGAGGCAAUCUAACUCGAACAUUUCCUAAUCCUAUAGCUCCAUCUCUUCUUGUGUUCGAUACGUGAAUCCUCAAGGGUUUACACAUUGUAGAGCAUUGAUGAAGUUGAAUAGAACCGUAAUACAUUGAAUUUUCUACAAAGACGGUAAGAUCCCACAUUGCCCAGGGAAAUGAUCCUUAUAUGUAUAUUCUCAUCCCUACCUAGCAUGAGGUCUUUUGGGAGCUCACUGGCUUCAGGUUCCAUUGGAACUUCGAAGUUAAGCGAGUAGCGCGCGAGAUCAAUCCCAUGAUGGGCGACUGGGAAGUUCUCGUGUGAGUUCACAGAAACAAAACCAUGAGGACGUGGUAGGGAUCCAAAACGGACAAUAUCGUAUUACGGUGGUGGAGCGGGCCCGAAAUGUGAUGGACCCCCGGGCCGGGAUGUGACAAAGACUUUGUUCAUAUGCCAGCUAAUGACAGAAUGUGAAGGGUUGAAUAGUUGAUUUAGUUGACUUGCAAUGACCACCAUGAAAAGGGCAUAUAGGUUGAGUACAGUAACAUGCACACGGUAAAUCUUUGCCCACCUGCUGAAUUCUUUGUGCAGCCAUGGAUACCAAACCAAACUCAGAGUUCGUGUUCUCCAUUAUUUUAUUAUGUGUAUUUCUCAAGUCCAAUGUUUACCUAGCAGCUGACACUAUCGGUGAAAACCAAUCUCUAUCUGGCCAUCAAACCAUUGUGUCUGCAGGUGGGAUUUUUGAGUUAGGUUUCUUCAAACCUGGUCAGCUUUCAAACUACUAUAUAGGCAUAUGGUACUCCAAGCAAGUAGUAUCUGAGAUGACCGUUGUUUGGGUAGCAAAUAGGGAAAUACCAGUAUCUGAUAGAUUUUCUUCGGUCUUGAGCAUCUUAGAUGGUAAUUUAGUUCUCUUGAACCAGUCCAAAACCCUGGUUUGGUCAACAAAUUUAAACUCCACCACCACUUCUGGUUCUUUACAAGCAGUUCUUUUGGAUAGUGGAAACUUUGUCUUGAGAGCGGGGUCUAGUAACAAUACAUCAGAGCCUUUAUGGCAAAGCUUUGAUCAUCCAACCCAUACUUGGCUACCAAGAGGUAGACUUGGAUUCAACAAAAUUACAAAUCAUACCCAAACUCUCACUUCAUGGAAGAAUUCGGAAAAUCCUGCACCAGGUCUUUACUCUCUUGAGCUAGCCCCGGACGAAAGCAGUUCAUAUAUCUUAUUGUGGAAUAGGUCUAAACAGUAUUGGAUCAGUGCACCAUGGAAUGAAAGUUCACAUAUUUUCAAGGUGGCUCCUGAAAAUCAAAUGUUCAAUUAUAGUUAUGUUACGAAUGAGAACGAAAGGUAUUUCACCUAUUCUCUUUACGAUCUAAAAACUGUAUCUCGAUGCUCCUUGUCUGUCUCGGGCCAGAUUCAGCAACUAACAUGGUUGGAGAAGCAGUGGACUUUGCUUUGGUCUCUACCAUUACAACAGUGUGAUGUUUAUGCUUUUUGUGGGGCUUUCUCUAGUUGCAAUCCCACAUCCUUGGACAACUGCAAAUGUUUGAAGGGCUUUGAGCCAAACCGGCAGAGUGAUUGGGACUUGCAGAUUUAUUCUGGUGGGUGUUCAAGAAGAACCAGUAUGCAGUGUGGGAAUGCUGCUAGUGCGAAUGGGACGGGUGAUGGGUUAUUGGGAGACGAGUUUCUAGAAAUACAUAGUAUUUCAUUGCCUGAAAAUAACCAAUAUGGAUACGCUCUUGGUAUCGAAAGUUGUAGAUCAGCCUGUUUAAAUGAAUGCCAUUGCACUGCUUAUGCUUAUGAAAGCAACAGUUAUUGUUCAAUAUGGCAUGGAGAUGUUUUUCUGCCAGAGCUUGUAGCAAGUGACGGUGGUGGAAGAACUUUAUACAUCAGAGCUGCAGCUUCUGACAUUAAGAAAAAACGUAAUAAGAGAGUGAUUAUUCAUGUCUUACUUGGAGCCGUUAAUCUUAAUGUUGUCCCAGUGAUUUUUUUCUUUUCUUUGCAGGUUUAAUUAAGCCGUCCCUUGUGAUUGCAAUUGUCACAACAGUCACAGGUUUGCUUCUUGUCAUUUUUGGCUAUUUCUUAUGGAAGAAGACAGUGGGAAAGAAAAGAGAGCAAAGGAAUAGAUAUGGUGAGACUAAAAGUAAAUUUGCUGCUGGAGGUGAAAACAACGAUGCAGAACUGCCGAUCUUUGGUUUAAGGGCUAUAAUAGCUGCUACAAACAACUUCGCUGAAGCUAAUAAACUCGGAGAGGGAGGAUUUGGCCCUGUCUACAAGGUGACACUUCCACUGUGUACUCUAAAUACUAAAACAUUUUUCUCCUCAUGCACACUUCUUGUGUAUUUAUGACCUUUGGAUUGAAUAAUUCCAAUGAGAUGAAUCACGGGGCAAAGUACACAUGGGUGUGCAGAAGGACAAAAAAGAGUGUUCGAAAAUAAUUUCUCCUUUCAGAAACAUGACCGUUCCUUUUUACUUCUCUUACAAUUUCUUCUCUUGUGCGAUUUUCUUCCUCUAUGCAGGGAAUUUUGGCUGAAAAUCAAGAAGUAGCCAUAAAAAGGUUAUCAAAAAAGUCAGGUCAAGGACAACAGGAGUUCAUGAAUGAGUUAAAACUUAUUGCCAAGCUCCAACAUACCAAUCUCGUUAGGCUCUUGGGUUGCUGUCUUGAAGAGGAGGAAAUGAUAUUGAUCUACGAGUACAUGCCCAAUCGGAGCUUGGACAAACUUUUGUUUGGUAUAUAUAUGCUAAUGACUUAUGAUUUUUUCUGCAAAUAUAUUGCUUUCCUUGUGUUUAAAUGCCGUGUACUGCAAGAUCAAAUGCACUGUGUCCAACAUUUUAUCUAAAAUGAAAAGAAAAACAUUUGCUCAUUUUUCUUCAUGGUUUGUCCAAUCAGAUGCAUCUGAAAAAAGAGAAUUAGAUUGGGGAAGACGUUUUCGAAUUAUAGAAGGCAUUGCUCAAGGAGUACUUUAUAUCCACAAGUACUCUAGAUUGAAAAUCAUCCACAGGGACCUAAAAGCAAGUAACAUACUGUUGGAUAGAGCCUUGAAUCCCAAAAUUUCAGACUUUGGAAUGGCAAGGAUUUUCGGGAUAAACCAGACUGAAGCAAAUACCAAUAGGGUUGUUGGCACA